GGGCUCUUAGCUCAACCGGUUAGAGCAGCGAACUCAUAAUUCGUUGGUUCCGGGUUCAAGUCCCGGAGGGCCCA
rnacentral:tRNA from 1 species